UACCUCCCUAUUCACUAGUUUCCUAUCUUGAGCAGAACCAGUAUAAAAUAUGGUCGCUGGAGUCGUAGAAAACCUGCCAGUCAGUGCAGUCAAAGCAUCCCUGCAGGCAUAACUUGCUCUCCUCUGUCCUCCACUUUACUGUCUUCACCACUGGCUUAAAUUUCCUACACACUGCCUUAUAAACCGGUGUCAGAAAAAUGCUGUUAUGAUACGACGCUCCAAGAGAUGGCAAACACAGAGAUUUAUAAGCGCCAGACAGAGCCGUAGCACAAGUCGAUCAUGGAACUGCUUCGCGUGGUCGAGCAUGACACAUAUUGCUCAUAAUUUCUGAGUACCCCACUCAACCGGCAGUGAUUGAAGUCACCGAGGAUAAAAUGGGGAGCGUCCGGGCAUAUGGCUGCUAACUUGAGUGACACCUCUGUAAUCAAGUGAGCGGCAGACUUGGCACUGGCGCGGGGAUGGAUGUACACGUGUGAAGAACAGCUGAGGAAAUUCCCUCGGGAGGUAGGACGGUGGGAGAUGGAUAAAAGCUCUAGAUCAGUGGUACAUUUUCUCUCCCUGACCACAAUGGUGUUACAAUACCGCUCGUUCACAUAGAAACACACGCCUCCACCGGUGGAUUUCUUGGUGAUACUGGGAGAUCUGUCCAUACGGAUUGGAUAACCAAACCCGCUGAUGAAUAAAUCAUUGCUGUGGUCAGCCUCACUCAGCCAAGUCUCUGUAAAAGCAAGGAGACACGUCUUUGCAUGCAUGUUUUUAAAUGAUGGUUAUAUAGUUCGUCAGAAAUUAAAAAAAAACUCUUCCAAACUGACCUACAAACAACAAUUGGAAAUAAACUUUCCUAGGUGACAGGCCGACGUUGAAUAUUAAUUAAUAAAUAAAAAAAUUUAAAUUUAACUCGCUGUUAACGGGCAACGCUUGCUGUAGUAGUUCUAGUGUCUUUUCUCAAACGAUGGGCAAUAUGCAUGUAUAUUUUUGUGAAAGACCAACUUACCUUCCCCGCGGGCUUUUGAUAUGUUAGUUACCUGAAGUCUCGUCAGGUAUUUAGCAUGCCGUUCGAAUUUGUCCUUAACAUUCUUAUCGUUUAGUAGCAUCGGUGAAAUUGUACAAUCAUGGGUCUGGGGCGGUUGACUAUUUCCCAAGUCGAUGGGCCCGCUCAAUGUCCUCAGCACACCAUGAUUUUACAAUUCAUUUUCGCAAGGGGCCGCAUAAGAAAUUGGGGUGGUUUUAGAGGGCCGGACUAAUGUAGUUGUCGCGUGUCAGCGAUUGUGCUGUCAUCCUUGUAUGCCUCCCAUACUAAGCAGGCCCAUCGUUAGGUGUUUUCUUCACGCUUUUGCCGUCUUGCGCGCGCGCGCACAGCUUCUUCGACGCGUCAAUUUACUUUUUCCUUUUUUUACGUCAUGGGCAGUCGUCAUCAAGAAACAGAAGGUGCUGGACCGUGGCCAUGAGAAGCCAGAGUUUUUUAUUUUGUAUCGAACGAUCUGCCACAAGCCGUUUUGGGUGAGUAGAGACCCAUUCUUUCGGGUUCUACACCACUCUUGUCUGGGGCUUUGGGUGGAGAAGGAAGUGGAAGCAAAAGAAUCCUUUUAUGUUCAAAGCUAUAGUCCGAGGUUUGAUUGCAAGACAUACUUUGUUAGGUUAACGUUCGUGAUUACCGUUUGUCGUUUCCCGCUGUACGGAUUUGUAUAAGAUCAACAUUAGAAUUUGAGCGAAUCUUAUGAUUAGUCCGAUGGUCAGAUAUAUGUGUCGGUGUGAAAAUAUUGUGGUAGAAAUUGAGCAGUUUCGGGACGCGCCUGUUGAUUGUGAGAAUUGUUUUUAUCAGGCUUAUUUUUUGUUCUUCACUCUUCCACCUGUUGUUGUUUCUUCUUCGUGUCAGCGUGUCCGUCAUCGUGUCGAGCGUCCACCCUGCACCAUCAUCAUCAUCUCGUCGGCGCCUGAACUCGCGACCCUGCUGCACCAGUGUGCGGAAAGGCCUUGGACUGAAUACCCAGAGCAGGAAACUUCGAGCAGGAGCUUUCGUGGCCAGUUGCCGGCCCAUACCAUCGCAUCUGGACGAGAAGAUAGAGGGGUGGGGGUACAUCGUUAGAGCGGCAAGCAAGGCCAAAGGGUGCGCUGCCGUCUGUGGACACCUUCAACGGACUUCUAAACUGUCACCCCGCAGUGCAUGUGGGUGAUUGCAUGGGUGUAAUGUUCGUUAGUGUUUGCAACUAGGUGUAGAGGUAUAUCCGGGAUAAAGGUGUCAAUUCAA